rnacentral:misc_RNA from 1 species
GUUUAUUAGUGCUUAGCACAACAUUUUUUCAUUACAUUCGUGUUUGUGUAAAUCCUCUACCAGCCGAAGCCAGCAAAGGCCAAUGGUUCACAAGUGGGUGUUGGAUAUAUGCCCCCCAACGUGCACAUGCCCUUACAAGGGCCAGCACUGAAGGUAAGACAAUUUAUAUCAUUAAUGAUCCUUCCGCAGGUUCACCUACGGAAA